CCUACGGGUGGCAGCAGUGGGGAAUAUUGCACAAUGGGCGAAAGCCUGAUGCAGCGACGCCGCGUGAGUGAAGAAGUAUUUCGGUAUGUAAAGCUCGAUCAGCAGAGAAGAAAAUGACGGUACCUGACUAAGAAGCCCCGGCUAACCACGUGCCAGCAGCCGCGGGAAUACGUAGGGGGCAAGCAUUAUCAGGAUUGCAUGGGUGUAAAGGGAGCGUAGACGGCGAAGCAAGUCUGAAGUGAAAUCCCAGGGCUCAACCCUGGGACUGCUUUGGAAACUGUUUUGCUAGAGUGUCGGAGAGGUAAGUGGAAUUCCUAGUGUAGCGGUGAAAUGCGUAGAUAUUAGGAGGAACACCAGUGGCGAAGGCGGCUUACUGGACGAUAACUGACGUUGCGGCUCGAAAGCGUGGGGAGCAAACAGGAUUAGAUACCCGAGUAGUC
rnacentral:rRNA from 1 species